UUUUUUCAUUCGGUUUUUUACUCCCCGCCGGUUUUUCCCCACCUCCCCAUCCCCAGCUCGCAAUAGAUCGUGCCCCACCCACGAUCCUCCGUUCCGUUCCUCCCGCCGGCGAAACAGAUCCUCGCUCCAUCCGUCCUCCUGCCGGCGUUCCUCCGGUGAUGCGCCGGGCGCCGCCCUCCCCCGUGCCUUCUUGCCUCGCCGGCUCUUGUCCCGCCCCUGCAACACCCGGCUCUGCCGGACCCUGCGACACCCCGCGCCGCCGGCCGCCAUCGGUGGGCUUUCCGUCGGUGACCUUCGGGCUACCCCCGCGAAGGGCUGCGCGGCCGGCCCCCCUCCCGACCCGGCGAGGCACCCUCGCCGGGUCCCCAAUCUCGCGAUUCGGGCCCUCCCCGGCGACCCUCUGGUGAGGCGUGGUCCUGUGCCCCCCCCUCUCGCCCUCCGGCGAGGUCCUGCGCCGCCGGCUACCUGCAGCCUCUGGACGUCAGCGCGUCGCCCGCUCUCCUGAGGUACCCCCACCCGCUACCUGCAGUCUCCAAGAACCAGUGAGAAGUUGUGAAGGUCCAGCCGUGCGCUCGUGGCACACGAUUGGCGGCGGCUAUUCUGGAUUCAUGCCGAGACGGAUUUGUUGUUCUUAACCAUCCCCGCGCCCCCGUCGUGGCUCGCCAACAUUCCGCUGGCGCCGGACACGACGUGAGUUCUCUCCCCUUCGACCGCCUCAAUCUUCCCCAGCCUGAUUCACGCAUGCCUUCGCUGUUCUGAUCUAUGAGUUUUGUUUGAUAGAUUGGGUCUCGAGUUCGUGAUUCACGCCUUCCCUUUUACUCUUUGCACUUCAACAGUUUGCGUUUUUGUCCCCACAAGUUGUUAAUAUAGGCAAUCCCCACAAGAAUUUGGCCUGCAUUAUUUCUGUGGAGUGUAUCAAAUCCUUCUGAUGUGGCCUCUUGUUUGAUCUUUGAAAGAUAAGGUGGAUUAGACUCUGACAGUAACAAUGCUGUUAGCUAGAAGUAAUUUAAGUGUGAGGACACAAGGAGCUGUUGCGCCAAGUUCAUGUCAGCUUCCAGCAGCCGGCGUGAGCUCUCAUGAUGUCAGUGUGACGCUCAUGUCAGCUUCCAUUCAUGUGUUGAUUUAUUUUGAUUGAGAUUACAGCAGCAAGGUGGAAGUUCUUCGCUUUCGCUAAUGCUGGAGCUAUAUUACUAAAGAAAUUCUUCUACUUUUCAAAAAAAAAAGAAAUUCUUCUAAUGCUAUUGACCUUGUCGGUAGUUUUGGUGCAAUAUAAUAAUCCUUUUUUCCAAUUGUAACUUUUGCUCCUGCAUUAGAUCUAACAUCCUUAGCUUGCAGAAGCAUUGAAGCAAGAGUUAUGGGAAUUGGGGUGCCAGAACUGCCAAGCAAAUUCUGUGUUACCUGCUAUGCUGCAAGACUCCAUCAGUGGUACAUGAGCCUUCUUUGUGCUCCCUAGUUCCAAUAGUCUGCAGUCUAGCUCUGCCAUUCUGCAACUUAAGAAGGUACUAAUUUCUGAUCCAAUCAGUUAAGAAGCCUGAUAAACUGAUGAAGGCUUAUUAGAUUUUGCAUCCACAGGAUUGAGCCUCCUGUAGUAUGCAGUGCGUGACCAUUCUGGUGAAUCAUUAGCUAUAAAAUAAAUAUGGACUGUUUUGAACUAUUUCCAUCUUCCUGCAGCUCCAUGAUCACACUAGAGCAGACUGGUCAGAACAAACUAGCUUCAGUUUUGUUUGCCUUGUGGUAGACAUCCCAACAGAUGUCAGAUGAUGGUGAUUGAUAGGCAUGAAAUGUGUACCUUUCUGCAUGAGUAUAAUUUUUUACCAUGUACUGUGUUGAUUAAAUGUUUUUACAUUUUUGGGUAAACCUUUGACAGUUUCUGAAUUUGCUUUAUUUGGCAGAAUAGCUCAUUGUCAGAAAUUUUUGCUACACCAUUUUUUAAACCAAUAUAAUGGAAGCUGUUAUCUAGAAUUUAUAACAAAAGAGAUAUGUUAUUGGUAGUUUGUGAUUAAAUUUACUCCAAAUAGAAGCAUUUCACUGUUCUCAUUAUAUGAUAUCACCAUGUAUAACUAUUUGUUAGUGACUAUAGUUGUUUUCAUUAGACAUGCAUGCCUGAAGGUGGGAAGAAUAUUUGAUUCAUAAUUCUUUUGUUGGCAUGCCCCAUUUUACUAUUGUUGUUCUCAACUAAUCAACUAGUACUAAUAAUAGCUAUGUUGUUGCAUAAAAAUGUGGAUGCUUGAACCUGUAAUGUCUUCAGAUUGUGAGAUGUUGUCUCUGCAGGGAUUAUAGGAUCGAUCCUGCCUCUGAUGCUUGAUAACCUAGAGGCUACGCAGAUGGCAAACAAUGAGUUGUCUCUGCAGGCUCUGAGAUGAAUUGGUAGCUAGCAAUUAUGUGUUGUCAUGAACUAUUGACAUCUGCCUGCAGCUCCAAGCCUCCAAGAUCGCAUUAGAGCAGAUUGGUCAGAACCAAAAAGCUUGACUUUUUUUUUUGCAUUAUGGAUGACUUCCAAACAAGCUAUCAGAUGAUGUUGAAGGCUGAAAGAUCUCGACAGAAGUGUGGUAGACAUCCAUUUGCAUGCCUGUGAUGUAAUCCUUUCUAAGCCUUCUAGCAUCAUAUGCUUGUGCCUGAUGCAGGUGAAGGCUGGUGAACACAUGCUAUUCCGUUCCUUCAUUUGUAUGGCAAUCAUUGGCUUGAUUCUAGAUUUAAGAUAUGUAUCUACAAUGAGAUAACGACAUUUGCAAAUAAAAGUCUCUAAUGCUGAGAAUUUUACUCAAGUUGCAAAA